rnacentral:rRNA from 1 species
CCUACGGGAGGCUGCAGUGGGGGAUAUUGCACAAUGGGGGAAACCCUGAUGCAGCGACGCCGCGUGGGUGAAGAAGCGCCUCGGCGCGUAAAGCUCUGUCAGCAGGGAAGAAAAUGACGGUACCUGAAGAAGAAGCCCCGGCUAACUACGUGCCAGCAGCCGCGGUAAUACGUAGGGGGCAAGCGUUAUCCGGAUUUACUGGGUGUAAAGGGGGCGCAGACGGCGAUGCAAGCCAGGAGUGAAAGCCCGGGGCCCAACCCCGGGAUUGCUGUUGAAACUGGGUGGCUAGAGUGCAGGAGGGGCGGGCGGAAUUCCUGGUGUAGCGGUGAAAUGCGUAGAUAUCAGGAGGAACACCGGUGGCGAAGGCGGCCUGCUGGACUGCAACUGACGUUGAGGCCCGAAAGCGUGGGGAGCAAACAGGAUUAGAUACCCUUGUAGUC